rnacentral:rRNA from 1 species
UACAGAGGGGGCAAGCGUUGUUCGGAAUUACUGGGCGUAAAGGGCGCGUAGGCGGCCUGUUAAGUCGAACGUGAAAUCCCCGGGCUCAACCCGGGAACUGCGUCCGAUACUGGCAGGCUUGAAUCCGGGAGAGGGAUGCGGAAUUCCAGGUGUAGCGGUGAAAUGCGUAGAUAUCUGGAGGAACACCGGUGGCGAAGGCGGCAUCCUGGACCGGUACUGACGCUGAGACGCGAAAGCCAGGGGAGCAAACGGG